UUCUGACGGCAGGCCUGCAGUGCCACACUCCGUGUAUUUGACAAGCUGAGUCGGACACUCCGUGUGGUAGAGUGUCAGUUUGUCAAAUACCCCAAGUGAGGCAUUUGCCUAGCAACCCCGGACUG
rnacentral:pre_miRNA from 12 species